CCUACGGGAGGCUGCAGUGGGGAAUUUUGGACAAUGGGCGCAAGCCUGAUCCAGCUAUUCCGCGUGUGGGAUGCAGGCCCUCUGGUUGUAAACCCCUUUUGUAGAGAACGAAAAGACACCUUUUAAUAAACUGUUUUGCUGACGUUCCUCUCAGAAUAAGCCCCGGCUCACUACGUGCCAGCAGCCGCGGUAAUACGGCGGGUGCUAGCGUUAAUCGGAAUUACUGGUCGUAAAGGGUGCGCAGGCGGUUGAGUAAGACAGAGGUGAAAUCCCCGGGCUUAACUCGGGAAGGGCAGAUGGGACUGAGAGACUAGAGUGUGGCAGAGGGAGGUGGAAUUCCAAGUGUAGCAGUGAAAUGCGUAGAGAUGGGGAAGAACAUCGAUGGCGAAGGCAGCCUCCUGGGAAAUAACUGACGCUCAGGUACGAAAGCGUGGGGAGCAAACAGGAUUAGAUACCCGAGUAGUC
rnacentral:rRNA from 1 species